UAGUAACAGACAUUGAACGUUUUUUGGAGUGUUCGUGUUUGAGAGCAUUAGUUUUUUGUUUUUCAAUAGGAAACUGAAUCGAUUGGAAUCGUCGCUAAAAAAAUACUGAAAAUGUCAUCAUGUUUUGUCUUACACAAUUAGAAAAUUGUGUUACCGUGCAGCGAAAGUUCACUAUCACACCGAAUCCGGCCUAUCUUAAAUGUGUUUGAAAAUCAAACCUGUGAAAUGUAGCCACAUAUCUUAGGAUUCUGUUUUCAUCG